GGCAGAACCAGUUGUCUUUGUUAGAGCUAGUGCCUUCUGUAAUAGGAAUUAAACAGAAUUGACCAUAUUUAUUCACUUAGUAGAUUGCUGAAUCAUAUAAAACUGUGAAUAAAUCCAUUAAUUCAACCCGUUAACUGAAAAAAAGAAAGGAAAUAAGAAAAAGAAUCACUGUACUGUAACUUGAGAAGGGGCUUCAACCUCUUCGGUCCAAUCAGAAGUAGGCUCACUCCAAGACCUAGGUCUCACCCCAAGCUGAAAAUACAAGAUCAUCUCUAGUGCUUCAAAAACCUUCUGCUGAUCCAAAAAUUCAUUCCAAACACCACUCACUAUGCAAUAAUUGUUGUUAUAAGGUGGCCGAUGAUGAGCAGCAUGUUGAGCACGUGACACCAGCAAUCCAACAUCCUGCAUUGCCACCACUAAUGGCGGCAACUUGCUCUUAGUUCCAUGAGCCCAAGCAUGAAACUGCUGGCUGAACAUUAUACAGCCAGAGCAUACGCUAACAAAGGCAUGGAUUGUAGGAUCAUUAAAAGCAAGAUCUAUAGGCAAUACACAGAAAGUUACUGCCCUUGCUAGAGCAUGUAAGUUGUUGGAAAAUUGACGCCUAGUGAUUGUCCAUGGCCACUUGUGGUGGCCUUGAAAUGCUUCAAUCUGAGCACCAAAAAUGGGUGUUGAUGCAUCACCAAAGUUAUCAAUUCCCCAGUGGUACACCCCAGAGCCAAGGUCAGCUAAAAUGUAACCAAUAUAGCCAGCUAAAAUGGGUUGGAGCCAUAUAUGGGAAUCAGCUGCAGCCACAAUGGCCUUAGCUAGGGAAAUAAGCACAGUAGUGCACCCAGUUGCCACCCAUAUACGGUGAGACCACGUUGAUUGCAAGCUACGGUCAUUGAGCACAGGAGGGGCGAUGGGUGUGACUAACGUUGGUGGGUUCACAAGCCUAGGUUCAGUAACUAACUGGGCUGGCUUGGUCUUAGAUUUGGUGGUGGUGGCUGAGCAUAUCACAAGUCUGCGGAGGCAUAAGUGGUGAUAGUUUGGAACAUGGGUUG
rnacentral:misc_RNA from 1 species